AAUGACUCUCAGCAACGGAUAUCUUGGCUCUUGCAACAAUGAAAAACGCAAGAAUUGCAGAAUUCCGCGAAUCAUCGAGUUUUUGAACGCAAGUUGCGCCCGAGGCUCGUCCCGAGGGCAUGCCCGCCUGAGCGUCCGCUCUGACCCACCCACCAA
rnacentral:rRNA from 1 species